UAUCACGUUGAAACACCGCUUCUCCUAGGAUCACUGAAGUUAAGCAACGUAGAGCCUGGUCAGUACUUAGUUAAGUGACCGUUAAGGAAUAUCAGGUUCUGUAAG